GUCCUCAUAGCUCAACGGACAGAGCACGGGCCUUCUAAGCCUGGGAUGUAGGUUCGAUUCCUACUGGGGACA
rnacentral:tRNA from 1 species